rnacentral:rRNA from 1 species
UACAGAGGUCUCAAGCGUUUGUUCGGAUUCAUUGGGCGUAAAGGGUGUGUAGGUGGCGCCGUAAGUCGGGUGUGAAAUUUCGGAGCUUAACUCCGAAACUGCAUUCGAUACUGCGGUGCUUGAGGACUGGAGAGGAGACUGGAAUUCAUGGUGUAGCAGUGAAAUGCGUAGAGAUCAUGAGGAAGACCAGUGGCGAAGGCGGGUCUCUGGACAGUUCCUGACACUGAGACGCGAAAGCGUGGGGAGCAAACAGG